rnacentral:rRNA from 1 species
AUUGAACGCUGGCGGCAUGCCUAACACAUGCAAGUCGAACGGUAACGACGGGAGCUUGCUCCCGGGCGACGAGUGGCGGACGGGUGAGUAAUACUUAGGAAUCUGCCCAGUAGUGGGGGACAACAUUCGGAAACGGAUGCUAAUACCGCAUACGCCCUAUGGGGGAAAGCGGGGGAUCUUCGGACCUCGCGCUAUUGGAUGAGCCUAAGUCGGAUUAGCUUGUUGGUGAGGUAAAAGCUCACCAAGGCGACGAUCCGUAGCUGGUCUGAGAGGACGAUCAGCCACACUGGGACUGAGACACGGCCCAGACUCCUACGGGAGGCAGCAGUGGGGAAUAUUGGACAAUGGGCGCAAGCCUGAUCCAGCAAUGCCGCGUGUGUGAAGAAGGCCUGCGGGUUGUAAAGCACUUUCAGUAGAGAAGAAAAGCCUAGGGUUAAUAACCCUGAGUCUUGACGUUACCUACAGAAGAAGCACCGGCUAACUCCGUG